rnacentral:tRNA from 1 species
CUGCCCGUAGCUCAGCUGGAUAGAGCAACGGCCUUCUAAGCCGUAGGCCGCAGGUUCGAAUCCUGCCGGGCAGGCCA